rnacentral:misc_RNA from 1 species
GUUUUCCUGCAGUUCUUACAUGCUUUAUCAUUUGUACACUCAGCAGCAAUAUGCCCUGGCUUAUAGCAAUUGUUGCAUAGCCUCAAGUCUCCAGGUGACAUCUCGGGAUUUGGGCAAUCUCUGGCACGGUGUCCAGACUUGCCACAUGAAUGACAGAUGCCCUCAUUGGGACAGUUACUAGCAACAUGCCCAGGUUCCCGACAAUUCCAACACCGCAACUGUGUGGUGCAUUCUGAUGCAAUAUGCCCAGGAAGACCACAAUUGUUACAUACAGCUACAUUGGGGCAUUCUCUUGCAAAAUGAC